GUUUUUUAACGUUUUCAACCUUGCUUUCCACUUGGCGCCCAUCCAUUGGCUGUCUUUGUUCCAUCCAGAUUUGUGUUACUUUGGCAAUGGAUGUGUGGAGAGUUUUCAUAAUUUUCAUUCACUUGGUUGAGCCUUUGAGUCCCUGGUGAUUUCUUCUCUCUAACCUUCUCACCUCUGUAAAUCAGAUUUGUGUUUGUUCUUCAUUGUAAAUCAGAUCUUGGCCUUGAUUUAUGGCCUUUGGUCUGCGGUGCUCUCAAGCCUGUGUUGUGGCUUGUGUAUAGUGUUCAUUAUAGGAAGUUUUGAGGCCCUUUGGGUUGGUUUUAAAGCUAUAAAGAACGGUUCUACACUUGUGUCGUGGUCUCGUGUCGAUUAGGUGUAGAUAUUGUGAGAUUCUUUAUAGAUCGGUGAUCUGAUUGGUUGAAUUGGUGAUCUGAUUGUUGUACUCUAAACUUAAACUCUCUUUUGCGGUUCUUGCGCUAGUGACGGGCUUCGUUUACCUCUGAGUCUCCAAAUUAGGCCAGUUUUAGCUGAACUGGGUGACCAAUUUUGGUGUUCUUGUUAUUUACGUUUUUAACAUUUUAUUACUGUUUGUGAUGUUGUGCUUUUGGCCAAGUGAUAAGAGUAUUUUCGAUUGAUUGAGUUGCUAAAAAUAUAGGAUCAUUAGAUUGAAAAUCUGAUUUGGGACCAAUAUUCUCAACAAAACUGGUAUCAGAGAUGUACUAGGGUACUUGAGUUUUUUUUGGUUCUUGAAAAUUUUUCAAAUAAAUCAUCCUUGGUGAAGAAUAAGUUUUCACGUGAUCUACAAUUUGGAAAGGUUAAUUGGAAAGUCAGACUCCUUUCUUGGAUACGAUUUCGAGGUUUCUUGAACCCUUUUUUUUUUUGGUGAAAUUCACUGGCUGGAAAUAUAGAGGAUUCUGCAGACUUCUAAAGUACCUGUAGUGUUAUUGAAUCUGUUAAAUGCCUACUGCCAUUGUUUGAUAAAGUGUUUCAGGUUGUAUUGCUAUAUUGGUUCCACAAAAUUGGAGGUAGACCUGCUGGACUCUUAGAGUGUGUUUCAUAUGACCAAUUUCAUGGAAAAUGAAAUUCAAAUUCCAUUUUCCACCAAAAUUGUAAUGUUUGAUAGCACACUUUUUUCCAUGGAAUUCAUUUUCUUGAUUGUCAAAACCA
rnacentral:lncRNA from 1 species